GCACCAGCAGGCAAGGGAGACGCGGUGCGCUGGGCGCCACCGGAGCUCGAGGUCUGCUUCCUCCGGGAGGAAGUGGUGUCAGCCCUGCCCUUCACACGUAGCGCGCAGACGUAAGGCACUCAGGAGCUCCGCUGCGUCGAGGUGCAAGUCAGGACCCUGGGUAGAAGGGGGAAAAAAAAACCUGGAUAAAAGACUCUGAAAAUUCAGGGGCUCUUUUUUCCUAACUCUUUGAGUCUGUGCCUUGUUUUCUCUCAUUUUUCCUCUACAGCACAACCUUGAAGAAAAAAAAAAUUUUUUUUUUUAAAUUCUGGCGAAAGUACAGCCAUCCUCUGUCAUCCCUCCCCUACCUACGCUAUGCCGAUCCUUUUCGGAUGCCAGGAGAAUUGACCCAUCUUUGUAGCCUCGAUAUAUUUGGGCUUUUGCAGAGAUGAACCAUUUAGAGACUUAGAAAAGAAUUCCAACAGAAGGACGAGCAAGAAAAAGCCUUGAGAGAGAAAUACAGAAGGUUACAAAGAAGUGCUGCUAUAUCAGAAAUACCACAAGUGGAUGGCCCCAACAAAGAAAAAUUUAUUCUCUCAUGGUCUAGAUGGCUAGAAGUCUGAAUUCAGUGUGCCAGCUCCAGGGGAAGGCUUUCUGUCUCUGUUGGCUCUGGGGAAAGGUCUUUGUCAUCAAUCUUCCCCUGGUCUAGGAGCUUCUCACCACAGGGACUGUGAGUCAAAAGACAUGCUCCCCUCCUUGUUCUACAUUCUUGGUGUUAAGAGAUCCCCCUCUUCUCUGCUGGCUUCUCUUUUUUAUAUUUCAAAACAGAUUGACUCAACAAAUUGGCAAAAUAAAAUCUAUUAAGAAAACAUUCUGCAUCCCACUUUGAAGUGUGGCGUCUGGGGUCUUAAAUGCUAGCAAGCGGCCAUCUAAGAUGCAUCAAUUGGUCUCAACCCACCUGGAUCAAAGGAGAAUGAAGAACACCAAGGACACAAGGUGAUUAUGAGCCCAAGAGACAGAAAGGGCCACAUGAACUAGAGACUACAUCAUCCUGAGACCAGAAGAACUAGAUGGUGCCUGGCCACAACCGAUGACUGCCCUGACAGGGAACACAACAGAGAACCCCUGAGGGAGCAGGAGAACAGUGGGAUGCAGACCUCAAAUUCUCAUAAAAAGACCAGACUUAAUGGUCUGACUGAGACUAGAAGGACCCGGGUAGUCAUGGUCCCCAGACCUUCUAUUAGCACAAGACAGAAACCUUUCCCAAAGCCAGCUCUUCAGACAGGGAUUGGACUGGACAACGGGUUGGAGAGAGAUGCUGAUGAAAAGUGAGCUACUUGGAUCAGGUGGACACUUGAGACUAUGUUGGCAUCUCCUGUCUGGAGAGGAGAUGGGAGGGUAGAGGGGGUUAGAAACUGGCAAAAUGGUCAUGAAAGGAGAGACUGGAAGGAGGGAGCAGGCUGACUCAUUGGGGGGAGAGUAAAUGGGAAUAUGUAGUAAGAUUUAUAUAAGUUUAUAUGUGAGAGACUGACUUGAUUUGUAAACUUUCACUUAAAGCACAAUAAAAAUUAUUUUUUAAAGAAAACAGAUUGACUCAAGAUACAACCUCAUCCUGUUGAUUGUGUCCUGCCUCAUUAACAUAACUGCCUUUAAUCCAGCCUCACUAUCAUCAUAGAGGUUAGGAUUUAUAAUACACAGGAUGAUCACACCAGAUUGCAAAAUAGUGGACAACCACACAAUACUGGGAAUCAUGGCCUAGCCAAGUUGGCAAAUAUUUUGGGGGGACACAAUUCAAUCUGUAACAUCCUUCAAUCUUGAUACCGUGUUUUUCUUCAUAUAGUCCAGUUUCUCAGAUUAUUUGCUCAGAUACAGAUUGAGUAAGUAUAGUAAAAGGAUACAACCCUGACACAUGCCUUUCCUGAUUUUAGACCACGAAGUAUCCCCUUGUUCUGUUUGAAUGACUGCCUCUUGGCCUAUGUAUAGGUUCCUCAUGAGUAUGAUUAAGUGUUCUGGAAUUCCCAUUCUUUGCAAUGUUAUCCAUAAUUUGUUAUGAUCCACACAGUCGAAGGCCUUUGCAUAGUCAAUAAAACACAGGUAAACAUCUUUCUGGUAUUUUCUGCUUUCAACCAAGAUCCAUCUGACAUCAACAGUUAUAUCCUUCAUUCCACAUCCUCUUUUGAAUCCAGCUUGAAUUUCUGGCAGUUCCCAUUUGAUGUACUGCUGCAAUUGUUUUUGAAAUUAUCUUUAGCAAAAUUUUGCUUACGUGUGAUAAUGAUAUUGCUCAAUAACUUCUGUAUUCUGUUGGAUCACUUUUCUUUGGAAUGGCACAUAUAUGGAUAUCUUCCAGUUGGUUGGACAGGUAGCAGUUUUCUAAAUUUCUUGGCAUAGACGAGUGAGUGCUUUCAGCGCUGCAUCCGUUUGUUGAAACAUCUCAAUUGUUAUUCCAUCCAUUCCUGGAGCUUUGUUUUUUUUUGCCACUGCCUACAUGCUACCUCCUGAAAUGCUUGUCAACGAAUUCUUUUUGGUACAGUGACUCUAUGUAUCCCCUUCCAUCUACUUUUGAUUCUUCCUGCAUCACUCAACAUUUUACCCAAUGAAUCCUUCAAUAUUGCAGGUAGAGUCUUGAUUUUUUUUUUUUUUUGGUUUUUUCAGCUUGAGAAAUGCCAAGCAUGUUCUUCCGUUUUGGUUUUCUAACUCCUGGACUUUGCACAUUUCAUUAUAAUACUUUACUUUGUCUUCUCGAGCCUCGCCUUAAAAUAUUCUUUCAGCUGUUUCACUUUAUCAUUUGUCUGGAACCACUUUUACUCCUUUACUUCGUCACUUGUCUGUCAGUUUGUCAUACUGUGGUAGUUUGUGUGUUGCUGUGAUGCUGGAAUCUAUGCCACAGAUAUUUAAAAUACCAGCAGGGUAACCGAUGGUAGACAGGUUUCAGCAGACCUUCCAGACUAAAAGAGACUAGCAAGAAAGACCUGAUAUCUAAUUCCAAAAAAACAUUGGCCAGUGAAAACCCGGAUAGCAGUGGAACAUUGUCUGAUAUAGUGCAUCUAUAUGGAGUAUAUGAAGAAGAACAGGGCAUCAGGAUUGGAGGAAGACUCAUUAACAACCUGCGUUAUGUGGAUGACACAACCUUGCUUGCUGAAAGUGAAGACGACUUGAAGCACUUACUGAUGAAGAUCAAAGACCACAGCCUUCGGUAUGAAUUACACUGCAACAUAAAAAAAAAAAAAAAAGUCCUCACAACUGGACCAAUAAGCAACAUCAUGGUAAAUAGAGAAAAGAUUGAGGUUGUUAAUGAUAUCAUUUUACUUGAAUCCACAAUCAACACUCAUGGAAGCAGCAGUCAAGAAAUCAAAAGACACACUGCAUUGAGAAAAUUGCUUUUUAAAGUGAUAAAAAGCAAAGAUAUCACGCUGAGGACUAAGGUGCGCCUGACCCAAGCCAUGGUAUUUUCAAUCACCUCCUAUGCAUGCAAAAGCUGAGCAAUGAAUAAGGAAGACUGAAGAAGAAUUGACACCUUUGAAUUGUGGUGUUGAUGAAGAAUAUUGAAUAUACCAGAGACUGCCAAAAAAAUGAACAAAUCUGUCCUGGAAGAAGUACAACCAGAAUGCUCCUUAGAAGCAAAGAUGGUGAGACUGCAUCUUAUAUACCUUGGACAUGCUGUCAAGGGGCAUCAGUCACUGGAGAAGGACAUCAUGCGUGGAAAAGUAGAGAGUCAGCAAAAAAGAGGAAGACCCUCAAUGAGAUGGAUUGACACAAUGGCUGCAAUGAUGCGCUCAAGCACAGCAAUUGUGAGGAUGGCGCAGGACUGGGCAGUGUUUCACUCUGUUGUGCAUAGGGUCGCUAUGAGUCGGAACUGACUUGAUGGCACCUAACAACAACAACUAACAACAUAUAAGACCAGUUAAUAGGACUAAUUAUUCAAAUUUAUGUACCAAUCAGUAAUGCCAAAGAUGAAGAAAUUAAAGAUUUUUACCAACUUCUGCAGUCUGAAAUUGAUCAAACAUUCAACCAAGAUGCAUUGAUAAUUACUGGUGAUUGGAAUGCAAAAGUUGGAAACAAAGAAGGUAGUCCUAGACUUACGAUGGGAUUCCAUUCCAAUGGCUCCUUUAUAUGUCCGAAAGAUACCUUUUUUUUUAGUUUUCAUAGCUUGCUAUAUGGCAGUGUUUUGAACAGUAAAUGAUAACAUUGAACAUCUGUGAGUGAACAUUUGAUAAUUAUAACAUUAGGAAAUUACAUGCUGCAACUUUGUAAAAAAAAAAAAAAGUACAUAUUACUAACAAUAAGACGUACCAAAAAAAACCUCAGAUAGUUGUAAGUGCUGUUGAUCAUAACUCCAGUGCAUCUUAAGCAGAGGACCAGCUGUAGUUUGAAUAUGGCCUUGGUGACAGCAAUGUUGCUGGAGAGCUCAUGAUAGCAUUUUGUAAGAUCGAUGACAUAUUCACUGGAAAUACCUUUUUUCAACAACAUAAACGGCGACUAUACUCAUGGACCUCACUGCAUGGAAAACACAGGAAUCAGGUCAACUACAUCUGCAGAAAGAGACACUUAAUAUCGUCAGUCAGAACAAGGCCAGGGGCCAACUGCAGAACAGACUAUCAAUUGCUCAUGUGCAAUUUCAAGUUGAAGCAGAAGAAAAUUAAAACAAGUCCACAAGAGCCAAAGUAUGACCUUGAGUACAUCCCACCUGAAUUUAGAGACCACCUCAAGAAUACAUUUGACACAUUGAACAGUAAUGACCGAACACCAGACAAGUUGUGGGAUGACAUGAAGUCAUCGUACAUGAAGGAAGCAAAAGGCCGUUGAAAAGGCAGGAAAGAAGGAAAAGACCAAAGGGGAUGUCAGAAGAGACUGUAAUUUGCUCUUGAAUGUAGAGUAGCUAAAGCAAACAGAAGGAAUGGUGAAGUAAAAGAGGAUUAGAGAUAGAGAUACAAAUUAUGAGUAAUCUGCUUGCCAAUGGAGAACUGGUAAGAGUGCCUUAAAGAGAACUGGGAGUGAGAUGAGAAACGGGCCAAAGGGUAAGCCUUAAGAAAUGCAAUUAUUUAUUGUAGUGGAAGAUAAAACUGGAGAGGAGACAGAGAAGGAGCUUUAAAGGGGUAGGAGGAAAACCAGGAGAAGGGAGUGUCAUGGAAGUUGGAGGAACACGGUAUUUCAGGAGCGUGUGGUCAGCAAUGUCAAAAUAUGUAAGAUGAAGACUGAGAUGUGCCCACUGGCUUUUGCAACCUUAAUGACUUUAGGCAGAACUGUUUUAGCAGCAAAACAGGGUUGGAAACCAGAAUGUCUCGAAGAGUGAGUGGGAUGUGAGGAAACAAAGACGGUGAACAAAGCAACCCUUUUGAGUAGUUUGCAUGUGAGAAGGAGGAGAGGAAAAAGGAGAUAAAGGCACAGGGAUAUGGAAUCGAGGAAGAUUUUUUUUUUAAUGGUUUUCAAAUAGGAAGAAACCGGAUGAGAGUGAAUUGUUGAGUAUUAAAGAGGGGAGAGAUAAUUGAUGGUGAAAAGUUCUUGAGACUGAGGAAGUGGGUAAGGCCCAAAGGACAGGUAAAUGAAUGGACCCUUGGAUAAGGGAAAGGAAAGUGCUUCUGUUUUACCAGAAAGGAAGGAAGGUAGGGUGAGUUUAGGGCAAAUAAGGAUUUCCCUCUUUUAGGUAGCUGCAAGAUAAGGAAGUUCUAAUUUGAUAACUUUUCUCAAAUUAAAGUGAGAAGUACAGUCACAUGCUGAGAGUGAGAUAGGAAGUAGCAGGUCAUAGGUUUUGGGGAGCCAGCUUUGAUAAGGUCAUUGCAGAAAAUGGGAGAGUAAGUGGACCAGAGAAAUGUAGUGGGGUUUCCAGGCAGCCUGAGGGUCUUUUUGAAAGGGUGAUGAAGAGUAAUGAUAGAAGCAAUCUGCUCUGUUGUGUUAUUCUAUCCCAGCAGGGCUAGAUUACCUAGGUUUGGAGAAAGUUUGGCCAUAAUGGGAGUGGCUGAACAAGCCAGCUGGAAGGGUGCGCUGUUGUGGUCAGAAGCUAAACCGGAAAAACCAAACCCCUUGCCAUUGAGUAGAUUCUGACUCAAGGCAACCCCAUGUGUUACAGAGUAGAACUACUCCAUAGGAUUUUCUUGGCCAUAAUCUUUACGGAAGCAGAUCACUAGGCCUUUCUUCCAUGGAGCUGCUGGGUGGGUUCAAAGCACCAACUUUUAAGUUAGCAGCUGAUGGAAAACCACUUGUGCCACCUGGGCUACUGGUCAAAAGGUAAGUGGCUAGUAUUAUGCUCCAGGAGGUAGUGAGAUUGUGGGUACUAAUAACAGCCAGAGUGUGACCAUGGACCUGAGUGGAUGAGGUGAUCAAAGAAAUUAGAGGCCGGAGGGUUAUGUGUGUCUUCUCAGGCAAUGGUUGUAGUCACCCAAAAUUAGGGUGAUCAUAUAACUUAUUGUCAAGAAUGGGACACUUUUGAGAGUACCAAAAUGCCCAAAUUCAGUGGGCGGGGAGGCAGCAAAUAGAUGUAAUUUGUGACUUUUCCCAGGCAAACAGAAUGAUGAUAGGACUUUGGGUCAUCCUAAACGAAGACAGGGAGUCAAGUGCCAAGGAUUUUAAAUGGGAGAGUAAAAGUGUUUGGGAGUAGUUUAGCCAAACUGUGUGGGUCUCAAGAGAGGAAGUUUUUUUUUCAAUAAAAAGAUGGGCCACUAAUGGUCUCCCGGUAGCACUGGGGAGCAAAGAGAGCAACAAACUCACCAUUGAACCAAGGUACAUGGGUGUGAGAGAAUAAACUGCUUUCCCUUGAUAGAGCUGCAAUGGAAGUGGUAAAGUUAAAGCCCAAGGGUAGAGGGAACAUUCUAGAAAUAGCUUCAAGAUACAGGUGUGGCAGUGAAAGGGUUUGGGAGGUGAGGAAGAGACGGCAGAUUGAGACACAGGUAAGGAAGAACACAAUAGCAGUCUUCCCCAAGUAGCUCUGAGUGGAGUUGGAUUUUAACUGUGCUUUACUAUCUUAUUCUUUUGGCAUGGUCACCACCAACUCCAACAUGUAUCAUGGCCUAUCUCCUCCUGACAAAAGAGCACUUUCACCUUCUGUCAAGGGAGUUGGGUUGACAUGAAGUAAGAAACCUGCUAACUUUUUGGACGGGGAUAUUCUUUCCUUUGGGUUAGCAUUUUUGUAAAGUUUUGCCCACUUAUCCUAUUUGACUUGUCCUUAAUUGUAGGGAAUACUUGUUUCUGAUUUAGAUAUCUAAAUUUAUGUUACCUGUAGCUGACCGUACUUUCCAAGAUGGCCAUAGCCAUAUCUCCUUUCCCACUUAAAGGGCUUCUCUCUAUCCCUAUGAAUCUGGGUGAGCUCUGUGACCACUUUUGACCAAGAAAAUACAGAAGACGUGAUGAUGGAUUUAGCAGCUAUCUGGCUGGCAGCAUCUAUUCCCUGACUCAGCCCUUGUCAGUCAUGUAAGAAGUCCAAACUACCCUGUGGGAGAGAGAGGCCACAAAGAGGAGAGCUGAGGCAAAAACAUGAAGUGAAGUCGCUAUCUUGGACAUCUAGCCUAGUCAAACCUUCACAUAACUUUAGACCCAGCUCUUACCUAAAUGCACAAGAGAUUCCAGGCGAGAACCACCUAGCUGAGCCUACUCAAACCACAAAUCCCUGAAAGAUAAGAUAAAUACUUGUUUUAAGACUCUAAAUUUUGGCUGGUUAUGCAACAGAAGAUAGAUAACCAAGAAACCAUUUGGGGUAUCUCUGCUUCCUGCUUUUAGGUAGCAG